GUAGGGAAUCUUCCACAAUGGACGAAAGUCUGAUGGAGCAACGCCGCGUGAGUGAAGAAGGUUCUCGGAUCGUAAAACUCUGUUGUGAGGGAAGAACAAGUACCGGAGUAACUGCCGGUACCUUGACGGUACCUCAUUAGAAAGCCACGGCUAACUACGUGCCAGCAGCCGCGGUAAUACGUAGGUGGCAAGCGUUGUCCGGAAUCAUUGGGCGUAAAGCGCGCGCAGGCGGUCCCUUAAGUCUGAUGUGAAAGCCCACGGCUCAACCGUGGAGGGUCAUUGGAAACUGGGGGACUUGAGUGCAGAAGAGGAAAGCGGAAUUCCAAGUGUAGCGGUGAAAUGCGUAGAGAUUUGGAGGAACACCAGUGGCGAAGGCGACUCUUUGGCCUAUAACUGACGCUGAGGCGCGAAAGCGUGGGGAGCAAACAGGAUUAGAUACCCGUGUAGUC
rnacentral:rRNA from 1 species